GCUCCUGUGGCGCAGUUUGGCAGCGCGCACGACUGUUAAUCGUAAGGUCACAGGUUCGAACCCUGUCGGGAGCG